GUGCCAGCCGCCGCGGUAAUACGGAGGGUGCGAGCGUUAAUCGGAAUUACUGGGCGUAAAGCGCAUGCAGGUGGUCUGUUAAGUCAGAUGUGAAAUCCCCGGGCUCAACCUGGGAACUGCAUCUGAUAAUGGCAAGCUUGAGUCUCGUAGAGGGGGGUAGAAUUCCAGGUGUAGCGGUGAAAUGCGUAGAGAUCUGGAGGAAUACCGGUGGCGAAGGCGGCCCCCUGGACGAAGACUGACGCUCAGGUGCGAAAGCGUGGGGAGCAAACAGGAUUAGAAACCCGUGUAGUCC
rnacentral:rRNA from 1 species